UGGUAUUCUGUGUCCACUCGUGGUAUCUCUCUUCYGUUACACAUCCUUGGAAUAGCAGAACAGCAUAACGGUCCGGACGGCCCUUGCUGUGCUUGGUGAGCAGUUGAUCAAGUUCUGUUGUCAGAAGAGGAAUGGAAAUGUCAUGAUGAACCAACGACCUGACGAACCCGCCAGGUAUUUUGACUUUGCUUGUCGGAUGUGGAGUUCCAGAGCUAACAGGUGUGCCUGGCAUGGAUUGUGACUCCAUCUCGUUCCUCACCCUCUUCAACGCGUCAUUCUCUGUCUGACUCUCCGCCAAUGAUGAGUGACUCUCCGGCUCUGGACCAAAGCAUCAGCUGUCACCCGUAUCUCMGCCUUCAGGCCCAGGCAUAGACCAAAGCUGGCGAGACAUUCAAUGACGUCAUCUUCACAGACGAAUCAACCCUGGCCCUUGAGCAAUUUGAUCAAAAUUGCUACUGAAAAAAAGGAAGAAGAUCAAGCAAGCCGAGUCCCAAGCAUCCACUCAAACUCCAUGUGUGGGGGGCAAUUUCUCGUCAGGUAUCAUGGCUCGAGAUUUCUUUGAGGAAGAAACCAUCAAAAGAUAUGCUGGACCCUAUGUCAGAGGUGUUUCUGGGACCACAUCACUUCUUUCAAGACAAUGACCCAAACACACUGCCGCCCGGGUUUGCAUUGCACAUGAGGACAUAAACAGGGUCAAGACACCAGCAGAYUAAGUAGACCUUUAUGUAGUAAAAUAACAGUUAAAUAAAAAAUAAAUGAAAGACCUACAACACCUACG